rnacentral:rRNA from 1 species
AGGAACACCCUCCCCACCCGUGUUUAUUUUACCUUGUUGCUUCGGCGGGCCCGCCUUAACUGGCCGCCGGGGGGCUUACGCCCCCGGGCCCGCGCCCGCCGAAGACACCCUCGAACUCUGUCUGAAGAUUGAAGUCUGAGUGAAAAUAUAAAUUAUUUAAAACUUUCAACAACGGAUCUCUUGGUUCCGGCAUCGAUGAAGAACGCAGCGAAAUGCGAUACGUAAUGUGAAUUGCAAAUUCAGUGAAUCAUCGAGUCUUUGAACGCACAUUGCGCCCCCUGGUAUUCCGGGGGGCAUGCCUGUCCGAGCGUCAUUGCUGCCCUCAAGCCCGGCUUGUGUGUUGGGCCCCGUCCCCCGAUCUCCGGGGGACGGGCCCGAAAGGCAGCGGCGGCACCGCGUCCGGUCCUCGAGCGUAUGGGGCUUUGUCACCCGCUCUGUAGGCCCGGCCGGCGCUUGCCGAUCAACCCAAAUUUUUAUCCAGGUUGACCUCGGAUCAGGUAGGGAUACCCGCUGAACUUAAGCAUAUCAAUAAGCGAGGGAAAAAGAAAAAU